UACGUAGGGGGCAAGCGUUGUCCGGAAUCAUUGGGCGUAAAGCGUCUGUAGGUGGUUUAAUAAGUCAACUGUUAAAUCUUGAGGCUCAACCUCAAAAUCGCAGUCGAAACUAUUAGGCUAGAGUAUAGUAGGGGUAAAGGGAAUUUCCAGUGGAGCGGUGAAAUGCGUAGAGAUUGGAAAGAACACCGAUGGCGAAGGCACUUUACUGGGCUAUUACUAACACUCAGAGACGAAAGCUAGGGUAGCAAAUGGG
rnacentral:rRNA from 1 species